CUUACCAGGGUUUGAGAAGCAGUAGAGAGAGAAAAGAACAUGCUGGGAAUAGGAGAAAAGGAAAAGACAGUUCUAUGCUGAGGUGAAAAAAGGAGUAGUUGGAGUCCGCCCUGUGACGCCAUCAGGGUGACAGCGCUGGUAUCUGUUGAUCUCUCCAGAAGAGAAAUCUCUAUCAGGAGAAGACAGCAAGUCCACAGAUGAAGCCCAAAUCUUCUUUUUGGGAAGCACAUCAAUGACAGGGACAACCUUUUUUUGUGGGCCAUCGCCUUUGAGCUGAGCUACUCAAGCGCAAAUAUGAAUAAUAUCCGUGCAGAGAAUACCAAGCAAUAUGCCAUACAACAUGCAGACUGUUACAGACUCUAG